AUCAGUUAGCUUGGAGAGGCGUUUGGGCCAGAAGAACCGAGUUCAGAACCAGCCUGCCAGAGCUCAGAAAGAACUAGAAAGGGUAAGUUUGUUCAGCAGUAAAUCUUGGACGCUGAAACAUUCCAGGCCUAGGUUAGCAGAAGGAGGCUGGAAGCUGAAGCCUUCAAGACCGGGCUUGUGGAAGAUCAGAUUGUACAGAGGUUAGAAGCAUCCAGGGUUAGGUCUGGGGAGAGUGAGAACAGAAAUAGAAAUGCUCUGGGCCCAGCACAAGCCAUGUUCAUAAAGCUUGGGUCUGGCUCUCAUCUCAUCCCUUCAUCUGAGACAAUAAAAGCGACAUUUACACUUACAGCAGGGUCUCUCCCUGAACCGUGGACUUGCAAUUUCUCAGCUAGGCGAGAAGCCAGAAAACUGCAGUGAUCUGUCACUGGCCCCUCAGAAGGGUUUAGAAGCAAUUUGGGGACAUCUAGCUUGUUCAAGCUAUGAGAUCUGAACUCUCUAGUCCUCUUAAGUAUUUAUUGAUGAGCCAUCUCUCUGGGCUUCUAUUUAAAAAAAAAAACAA
rnacentral:lncRNA from 1 species